CGAAUGACUCGGCUUACAUCGUGGAUUCUUGAACUGCUACUGCUUCUUACUGUUCUACUUGCUUGGGGAUUUUUGCUAUAUGCUGGUCGCAAAGCAUCAGAAAGCUAUCUGUAGAAAAUUUCAUUGCUAUAUCUCAAUACCAGAAUUGUGAUUAGCAAACAAGCCAACUGAAAUGCUGCGUCACAAAGCAAUACUACAAACGAAACAUUUGCUUUUAUUCAUGAGACAUUGCUCUGCCAUGACUGUGCAACCACUACAUGCACGUGCAGGCAUGUUUCGUCAUGAAGUUGCAAUUGUAGAUACUCAUGGUCAUUAUACUUACCAGCAGUUAAUCAAUGGCAGCACACAUUUAUCUUCAUCUCUCAGGGAAGUCUUUCAAUCAUCACGUUUUACAAGAAAACAUUGUAUGGGUGUGGAUUAUGAGAAACAACUAGGCAUUGCAUUUUUGUGUCCGAAUGAUGUCAGCUACACCUUGGUUCAAUGGGCAACAUGGAAAUAUGGUGGAGUUGCAAUUCCUCUAUGUGGAAUGCACCCUCUGUCUGAAUUAGAGUAUGUCAUAUUGGAUUCACUAGCAUCGGUUGUAGUAUCGUCUGGUUCUUCAGACAACUACAACAAGAUAAGCUCUAUAGCUAAUAAACUUAGAAUUUUUCAUUAUCAUCUGAAUACCAGAGAACUGCUUGCAUCAUUAGACAUUUACGAAACUGAAAAUGAGCAAACCAACCGGCUGCCAUCUGAUCAGCCAGCGCAGAUUGUGUAUACCAGUGGUACAACAGGGCGACCAAAAGGUGUUGUAGUCACACAUGGGAAUCUAGUGUCUCAGAUAACUGCACAGAUUGAAUCAUGGGGUUGGACACAGGAUGACUGCAUGCUUCAUGUGUUACCUUUGCACCAUGUCCAUGGUAUCGUCAAUGCACUGGCUUGUCCUCUGUGGUGUGGAGCAAUAUGUCACAUGCUACCUGAAUUUGAUGCUGCCAAGGUGUGGGAUCUACUGCUGCAUCGUAACUCGGCAGUAACUCAAUCGAUUAGUAUGCUGACAGCAGUCCCUACUGUCUACUUCAAACUGAUCAAAUACUAUGAACAAGCUGGUUACAACAAGAACGAAAAGGAAGACAUCAAACAGCAUCUUCAAUCUAAAAUCAGGCUUAUGAUAUCUGGAUCAGCGCCAUUGUCAACUACAACUAUGGAAAAAUGGCAUAAUAUCACUGGCCAUUGGCUCCUAGAAAGAUAUGGAAUGACUGAAGUUGGAAUGGCUCUAUCAAAUCCUCUCUAUGGCACUCGAAGUCCUGGUGCUGUGGGACGCCCGCUUCCCAGUGUUUCUGUUCGCAUUUGUGAUAGUGAGAGUGAGACAUUACUGGCUGAAGGUGAUUCAAGAGGAACAGUGGUUUAUAGUGACAAUGUGUCUGUUGGUGGUUUAUUGCAGAUCAAAGGUCCUUCAGUGUUUCCUCAGUAUUGGAAUAGACCAGCUGCUACUGAAGAGUCUUUUACUAAAGAUGGCUGGUUUAUAACUGGAGAUACAGCUGGUAUUCUUCAUUUAUUUGUCAUCCAGAAACAACUGACUUCAUCACUUCAAUUAAAUAGUUAUAUAGUUGGUGCAUCUAAUUGAUUAUUUACUGAGUCUGCACUUUUGUAGUGUUUAUUUGCAUCUGUCAGAGAAUUAUAAACGUGGUUUUUGUACAUUUAGUUUGUAUGCAGGGUUGUCCCCAGCAUACAAAAGGCAUGGCGCUCCUGGCUUCCAUUUGGUACAGGCCCACCAUGCUUUACUGCAUGAGUAGACAGUGAUUAGCUAUGAAGAUAAUGGACUUGUAUUUGUAUUUUGAAAGUGGGAAUGGACUUGUAUUUGUAUUUUGAAAAGUGGGAAGUUGUUUGAGACUAACAAGUAGUUCCUGGGAUGCUUGGUUUGAAGAUAAGACCAAUUAGGACAAAGACUGCCAUAUAGCAUGAAUUAAUUGUAAUCUUAGGUACUCAAACAUCAACAGUGGUAGUCAGCACUGCCCCCUAUUUAGGUCAGUAUCUGACGGUAACAAACGAUUUUGUAGAUAUCUGGCCCUUCCUAUACUACUAGUAGGUUCUCGGCUUCUUGAGGUCUGGAAAUUUCCCAGUGGCUAUAAGGCUUACUAAAGCUAUCAUGUGGUCAUGCACAGUGAACUAAGACAGAGAGAAACUUUCUUUAAAAAUAAACCACUUUGUUCCUUUUGUGCCUGAGCAUUCCAUAACAACAGUUUGUGGCUUCUCAGGGGUAAGAAAACCUGCACUAAAGCUUUCCUGGAGCCCGCCACCACAAAAAUUGGAAUGGGCGUGGUUAUAGCAAUUUCCGCUGUGCCUUACAAAUAUCUUGGGGACACCCCUGCUGUGUGUUGUAGCUUUCACAAAUGGCACAUAUCACAUCAUAGGACGUACAUCUGUCGAUAUUAUUAAAAGUGGAGGCUAUAAGAUUAGUGCCUUAGAAGUUGAAAGGCACUUGCUCUGUCAUCCAGCUAUUGCAGAGAUUGCUGUGGUUGGGAUUGAUGAC